rnacentral:rRNA from 1 species
AGAGUUUGAUCCUGGCUCAGGAUGAACGCUAGCGGCAGGCUUAACACAUGCAAGUCGAGGGGUAUAGGUUUUCGGACCUAGAGACCGGCGCACGGGUGCGUAACGCGUAUGCAAUCUGCCUUGUACUGGGGGAUAGCCCAGAGAAAUUUGGAUUAAUACCCCAUAGUAUAAUGAAACCGCAUGGUUUUAUUAUUAAAGUUCCAACGGUACAAGAUGAGCAUGCGUCCUAUUAGCUAGUUGGUGUGGUAACGGCAUACCAAGGCAACGAUAGGUAGGGGUCCUGAGAGGGAGAUCCCCCACACUGGUACUGAGACACGGACCAGACUCCUACGGGAGGCAGCAGUGAGGAAUAUUGGUCAAUGGGCGCAAGCCUGAACCAGCCAUGCCGCGUGCAGGAAGACGGUCCUAUGGAUUGUAAACUGCUUUUGUACGGGAAGAAACACUCCUACGUGUAGGAGCUUGACGGUACCGUAAGAAUAAGGAUCGGCUAACUCCGUGCCAGCAGCCGCGGUAAUACGGAGGAUCCAAGCGUUAUCCGGAAUCAUUGGGUUUAAAGGGUCCGUAGGCGGUUUAAUAAGUCAGUGGUGAAAUCCCGUCGCUUAACGAUGGAACUGCCAUUGAUACUGUUAGACUUGAAUUAUUGGGAAGUAACUAGAAUAUGUAGUGUAGCGGUGAAAUGCUUAGAUAUUACAUGGAAUACCAAUUGCGAAGGCAGGUUACUACCAAUGGAUUGACGCUGAUGGACGAAAGCGUGGGGAGCGAACAGGAUUAGAUACCCUGGUAGUCCACGCCGUAAACGAUGGAUACUAGCUGUUCGAGAGCAAUCUUGAGUGGCUAAGCGAAAGUGAUAAGUAUCCCACCUGGGGAGUACGUUCGCAAGAAUGAAACUCAAAGGG